rnacentral:snRNA from 1 species
GUUAGUUCGCUAAACUAUACUAAAAUUUGAACGAUACAGAGAAGAUUAGCAUGCCACACUGACGCAGGAUGCACCGCAAAUUCGUGAACGUUCCUCAUUUUU